ACGCUUCUUUCCUCCCGAGUGCUUGCACUCAAUUGGAAAGAGGAGUGGCGGACGGGUGAGUAACACGUGGGUAACCUACCCAUCAGAGGGGGAUAACACUUGGAAACAGGUGCUAAUACCGCAUAACAGUUUAUGCCGCAUGGCAUAAGAGUGAAAGGCGCUUUCGGGUGUCGCUGAUGGAUGGACCCGCGGUGCAUUAGCUAGUUGGUGAGGUAACGGCUCACCAAGGCCACGAUGCAUAGUCGACCUGAGAGGGUGAUCGGCCACACCGGGACUGAGACACGGACCAGACUCCUACGGGAGGCAGCAGUAGGGAAUCUUCGGCAAUGGACGAAAGUCUGACCGAGCUACGCCGCGUGAGUGAAGAAGGUUUUCGGAUCGUAAAACUCUGUUGUUAGAGAAGAACAAGGACGUUAGUAACUGAACGUCCCCUGACGGUAUCUAACCAGAAAGCCACGGCUAACUACGUGCCAGCAGCCGCGGUAAUACGUAGGUGGCAAGCGUUGUCCGGAUUUAUUGGGCGUAAAGCGAGCGCGGGCGGUCUCUUAAGUCUGAUGUGAAAGCCCCCGGCUCAACCGGGGAGGGUCAUUGGAAACUGGGAGACUUGAGUGCAGAAGAGGAGAGUGGAAUUCCAUGUGUAGCGGUGAAAUGCGUAGAUAUAUGGAGGAACACCAGUGGCGAAGGCGGCUCUCUGGUCUGUAACUGACGCUGAGGCUCGAAAGCGUGGGGAGCAAACAGGAUUAGAUACCCUGGUAGUCCACGCCGUAAACGAUGAGUGCUAAGUGUUGGAGGGUUUCCGCCCUUCAGUGCUGCAGCAA
rnacentral:rRNA from 1 species